UUUGGAGCUCUUAGUGUGACUGCAGAAAACGAACAUCAUAUGAAAAGGCAUGCCCAAAAGUUAAAUAUCAAAAUAGAUGAUAUAACUAAGUAUUACAAAAAUAACAUAAUUGAAAAGUAUUUUAAAAACAAAAAGAUGACAUAAAACAAUCUGCCAAUGCAUGUUAGACAAGGAAUAAGGCAAGAAAUUUCACUAUAUCUCUGACUAGGACAGGACCUCUUAAAAAUAAAAAAUUUGGCAGGACAAUAAUUCUGAAAAGACAGAUUUCCUAUCCUUCCUUUCAUCUCUGGCAAAAUACAGCUCAAAAUUUCAAACCCCUCACGUAAAAUAAGAACAGGUUUUACAACAUGAACUAGCAAUUUACUAGUCUGUUAGUCAUUAAUUUGAUAAUCACUUGAAAAUUAUUUAUCCUUUCCAAGAGAAAUCUAUCAUCAGGAAAGAAGUUGGGAACUAAAGCUCCAUUGUUGAGCAGACAAUGACUUCUGUGAGUGCAAAAAAAUUUUACUGAGAAACUGAAUUUUUUUCUUCCAUUUGGUUGGCACUUAAAAAAAAUCCAGUAAUUGUUUUAUGGAAUUCUUCAACCAAAAAAAUAUUGUUCUCCUUCCACCAAGAUGAUCACACCUUCCAUGAAGAUGACCACAGAAAUUAUGGAUAGAUAAAAGCUAUAUAUAUAUUUGGUUAAUUUGCUUUAAUAAAUGAGAACAAUACAUCAUAAAGAUAGAUUACAGUGGAUGCUAAUGACUGGAAGCAGCUGAUGGGUGCUAGUUACAACUGGUGGUUAGUGGACUCCAAAACGUAUCUAUAUGGUUCUUUUAUGGUUUCCUACAGUUUUGUUGAUUCAUAGAAAAAUAACUUAAUUCCCUCUGACAAGAAAAAAGUUAACAUUGACAAAAUUUCUAUGCUUAUCAAACAUUAGUAAUUAUGGAUAACAUCUUCCAUGAAAGAAACAAAGCCAAAUAAAAUUUUCCUCUAAGAAUAAAAGUAUGACAAUUAGCAAAACAACAACAAUGCUUUGGCCCAAUCUCAGACUGAAAGCUAAAUAUGGGAUUCUGAUAAACCAAACACCAAAAAAUUCUAUGUAGACAUCAAAAUUAUUAGCAUAUUUAGGAACAAGAAACUACAGUUAUAAUAAAACCAAAAAUGCAUUUGUUUCAUACGGCUCAAACAAACUAUUAUAGCCAAAUUCUGAUUACACAUCAUUUGAAUUGAAAGCAAAACAAAAUAUACCAAACUGAACAAUUACAAGUUGACAUCUCAAGUAACUUAAUGAAAAAUAAAUAACUCCACAAUGCUUCCAGACUAAACAACAAUACCUGCUCCAAAAUCAUUCUCACCAGCACUGUAUCGACUGCAACC
rnacentral:misc_RNA from 1 species